AGCGGGGUAGGUUAAGUUUGACUGUUUGUUUUCAAAACAAAAGGUGAGUGAUUUUGUUCCUCUGUUG
rnacentral:tRNA from 1 species